CCUCGGGUGAGAAUCACUGGGUGGAAGGGGCAGAGGGCAGAGCUGGGCAGGCAGGUGAAGCAUGAGCAGAGGGGCCCCUGAGUCGGGGUAGAUGGAGGUGUCAGAGUCAAGACUGUCAGACACGGUGGGGGUGGAAGGACCCUGGACCAGGCAGACAGCGAGCAAAUGGAUGUAGCCGAGAAGGCAUCUGGCGGUGACCUGGGACUCACCGUCAGCGGGUAGCGCGCCAAGGUUCGGUCCUGGAGCUGAGGACUCCCGAGUAGGGCUGACUGAGAUGGGAGUUGUGAAUAGGGAAAGUCGGGUUGUGCAGAUGUGUACACAGCACUGGGCAGAAUGGCCUCACAGAAAGAAUGGUAGAUGGGGUGGGAGACAACACUGAAGAAGAACACCUGGGAGAGAUUCCUACUAGGUAGGGAGGAGGAGAGGGAGAGGGGUGGACUGUUGUACCCAGGGCUCUGUGCAGGUUGACACUGAAUGCCUUGGUGUGGGUUGGGAAGAAUCAGGGCGAAAGGGAGGGCAGAAGACUACAGACCUGGGGUAACAGGAAAAAGGAGGAAGAAUCACAGAGAGAGGCUCCCCUAAGCUGUGUCAGAUGAGUGUGUGAUAAAGGGUCUGGAUGGAAACAUGGAAGGUUAUAGGGAGUGAUGUCUGCAGGUCCCGAGAGGAAACCACAGCCUGGUCCACAGGAUGUGAGCAGGGGCUGGUGGGUGGAGUGUGCGAUUCAGGACAGUAUGUCUGAGGCCGUGAUGACUGAACUGGGAUGAGUAGCGGGUGAGGGACCAGGAAGGGAGCGCACAGCAGAGCAGACGACUGAAUCCAGCCGGAAGGGUCAGAGACGGUAGCUGACAGAAUGUCGCAUGGCUCAGGUAGGACGGUUCCUUUGCUCUGUAUGCAGCAGAGAAGCCAAGCAGGAGAGAUGGUGAAACAGGCCCAGGAGGUCGGAGAUCAGGUGAGCAGUCUGGAACACUGGGAGAGUGUGGAGGAGGACAGGUGGUCCAACGGGCUGGAAGAGAAGGAAAGGGCCGGCGAUGGCGCCUCUGAGCUCGGGCAGGAGGGGCUGGCUGAGAGGGUCAGGGAACCACUGUGUGAAGAGAGGGAUGGCUGAGCCUGAAAGAGGGAGUGGACAUGAAAAAUGCAGGGACUUUGCCCCGUAAAGUGGACCAAGGGCAUGACGAAGCCCAUGCAGGAGGCAGAGCACUGAGCAGGUAAGGCAAGCAAGGAACACGGGAGAGGCGGAUGAGGCCAGAGGAGGAUGGGGUGUAGAGGUCGAGACCAAAAAACUGGAGACAACCCUCUCUGGCGUGGCAUGGAGAAAUCAUGAGACAUCAAAGAGGCCAUAGAAGCACUGGUCUCAUAAUUGUGAACCAGAAAAUUAUGACACCAGUUGGAUUCAGUACAGCCUGUUGGGGACAAAGAAGUGUCAGUGGAUGGAGCGCAGGUCAAGACGGGAGCAGAUGUCAAGGAAAACAACAGUGAGUGUCGCAUGCUAGCAGGUGGCAGGGGAAGUAGGACAGUGUGUUGCAGAAGAAGCAGAGAGUCUCUUGAAGACAAGAAUGGAAGAAAAGGCAGAGGAUGGGCUGAGCUUGGUUUACUCUGCGUCCAGCAUGGAAAGGAGAGACAGGAAUCUUGGGCAUCACGAGAAGGUGGCUGACGGGAUGUGAGUUGUGUCAUGGGACAACAAAGGGACAGGUAAGGAGAGGAGGGACCUUUUGAUUGUGAGGGGGGCUCAGGUGGGUAACGGGGCAUCACAGAGAAGGGCACAGUGGCGUGAAAGGCCUACAACUUGGGGGAGUGGCAGGUCUGAGGAGCGACAGGGGCUGCAUGUAGGGUUCUACAGCCAGACAGCCGGAGCAUACUAGGGAAUAUAAGAAAGUGUAGGCGAUGUGAGUCGUACCUGUGGGCAAGCACUGUUUUAUGGGAAAAUAGACAAUGUAGAAUAUUCAUAGAGGGAGCCACGAUAGGAUAUCCAAGUAAAAACUAAGGGCAAUGUAGUGCUAUCAAUUGGAUUUUGAAAGAAUGGUAUUUAGCCCUGAUACAGCAUGCAUCCUACAGAUGGUGACACAGUAUUUACUGGUGCAUGUUUUUCCAAUGAAAAGGAGCCGAACAAAAAUGGAAAGAAGUGGUUAAAAUGAAGUUGGGAUUGAGUCGCCAGUAUACAUAUUAAAUCAUUCUCCAAAUUACUGGGAAACAUUAUAGUGGUUAUCAUACUUGGUGUUGCCUACUAAACUUGAUCACCAUUAAUGGAUCACAGUGGAGGGGGCAUGGGCUACAUUUCCUAAAGGAUACAUUGGAAUUAUAUAAAAAGAAAUUGUCGUAGAGAAAUUGGCAGCUGCCUGAAAAGUCUACCAGAAAGUCUCAUCAAAGUGGGCAGAUUUAGGAGAACGAACAGUCAGAGAGAGAGCAAUUCCUGCAGUGAAAUCAGAAGGGAGGGACAGCAGCAGCAACAAUCCUUAUCACGGUUAGGACUUCCAGAAGCAGAGCUGAAAGUGUGUGCAGUGGGCUGGCACUGUUCUGAGAGACAAGAGUAGGCAAAGGAGGAAUUUCACACGUGUUCACAUGCGGAAUCAAUUUAAAGGCCAGACAGACUGUGAACCACAAGCCUGGGCGGUGCAAACAAGCAGAGGUGUUUUCUAAGGCCAAGAGAGGGAAGAAGAUGUGAAUGGAUACGCCAUGCUUGUGUUGCGCUCUAGGGAGAGGUUAUCAUUUAAGAAAAGCAGCAAUAAAGAUUAUGGAUGACGAUGAUGAUGGUGUGAAGAGGGAACAUGAAAUAGGACAGGAAGACAGGUUGGAAGUACAGAGGGAAUGUCAGAAAUUUCAGUGUGUUUGAUGAAAGGCAGGCUGGUUACAAGAUGAAUGAACAGGUGAACAAAGAGAGCUCAAGCUGGGAAUCUGGCCAAUCUCAGAAUGGGUCAAAUUGGAGGAAUACUGAUUUUGAGGCUAGACUGAUACAGGAGAAUUUGAGAUCUUGAUCCCUGGCAUAUGUCUUCAGUUUGGCUCAAAUAAAUUCUUAUAAAAAUUCUCAAAAAAAAAACCCCAAAAACAAAACUGGCUAGACUGAUACAAAUUCUAGUGAUAAAGGCAGAGGAAAUGGUGGUUGACCAGUAAUGUUCUACCUAUCCUGCCUUUUUAGCAUUUGAAUAAAAAUUCAAAUGAUGUGCUUCUCUUGAAAGAAUGCAAAGUUUUAUCAAGGGUCAUUAAUAUCAGUGGAUGCAUGUGAGUCAAAGUGAAAACCUCUGAGAUAAAUUUUACUUAAUUGAAGCUGUAGAUUCAAUACAGAAUGUCAGGAGUUAAUAUGGUUAGUAUUGAACAACAAAUAAUGGAGUUGAGACUAGAGAUUCAGAGAAGAGUCCAGAGUCCAUCAGAAUCCUGUGGUAGCUCAAGUUAAGAUGGAGGUUUGAGGAAGUGUAGGCAGAAAGUCAAGAGCUGAAAUAUAUAUGAAAGAGUUAUGAAUUGUUAAUACAGGAGGAAGCAUCCCUAAUGCAAAACAGAAGGCUCAUAUACAUGGACUGCUAAACUUGAUCUUGGUAAGGAUGUUUUCUAUUAAGACUUUUUAAAUGAGUUAAAUUUGCUGAAAUGGUUUGAAAUGAGAAAUAGGAUGUGACAAGGCCUGAUAGUGCAAUAAUAAAAGUAAUUUCGGGAUUAGGAUGGUUCUGAGAUGGUAACGGAACAAAAAGUUAUUAUUUUAAAGUAGGGGCAUUACAGAGGUCCAAAGUGGGGGGAAAUUUGCAGACUGUUGUGCCUACAUGUUGUUCCUGGUGCAGAAGUAUUCAGAGGAAGGAAAGUUGCUGAAUGAGAAAAGAUACUAAGACAGAAGGCUGCCUUGAAGGGUUUUCUAACAAUUUUUAAGUAAAAGAGUAAUUGUUGGAGGCCAGAAGAUACUAAGAGGCUUGACUGAAUGGAGACUUACUCGUUCUACAAAUUGCCCAUAAUUUAAGAGAAGGAGAUAUGGUAAUAUCUUGAUGUUGGGUUAAAGUAAGUUUUUUCAGAUGGUGUCGAUUUUCUGUACACUUACAAAGUAAGGGGGAGUGGGAAAGUUUAAAGAUACAGCAAAAAUAACAACUUUCUGGAGAUUAGAGGGUGUGUGUCUUUUGAACAGUGGGAGACUUGAUUUUGAAAGAGGAAACUGGAAGAAAGUGGAUAGUUUCAGAAUUGAAACAAUUUUAAUAGCUUCUAUUUAUUGAGUAUUUACUAUAUGUCUGGCACCACGCUAAUCACCUUACUUAUUUAAUUUCAAUUUAUCUUUACAAUAAUUCUGAAAGGCUUAUAGAGGUCAAAUAAUUUAUCCAAAAUUCACAGUAUGUAGCAGUCCGAAUUCUAAUCCAAAUUUGUUUAUCUCCAAAACCUCUAUUCCUUUCUAUUAUGCUAUACAAUUUUCAAGUUGAAGGAAAUCACAAUCUAUAUAAUUUUUGUUUCUGUGAUUAUAAGGAAAAUAUAUUUUCUGAGAUGAGACAAAGUAAAGGUAAUGUAUAGAUCUUCAGGAAAUUGGUAAAAUUUGGAAUAUUUGCAAUGGGAAAAUGCAAAAAAGGAAUGGGUAAAAAACAUUUUUAUUACCAUCUAUGCCCUUGGUAUUUCACUUCUAUUUAUUGCAAAGCAAAGAUUUUGGAUUGGCUAUGGAUUAAAAACUAGACUUUUCUGACAAAGACAAAAGAAUAGAAAGGAGUUUGUUUUUUAAGCAGGUACAUGAUGGGUCAAAUAUAAAUCAACUACUAACAAAAUCUUAAAAGUCCAAGUGUUGAGACAAAAUUCCAUUUCUUUUCUCCAAGAUGCAAUGACAGGAGUUUAUAACUGACUUUUAGCACCAAUCAGCAAAUCCUUUGAGUUUAACAGAAAAGAAAGAAAAUUCUCCAAAUGCCAAAUUUUUAUAAAUAAAAUACUAACAAACCAUCAAACAAAAGAGUCCAUAGCCAGCAGACCAAAGGCUGAAACCUCUGGGCUAAUCUGUAAGAUCUAUGUUUCAAAAAGAAAUUAACCCCUUAGUAAGAGGGGUGCGAAAAUCUCUCCUAUACUUCCUCUCUUAGUAGGAAUGUUUUCUGUUGUUGUUUCCCCCUUUCGCUGUAUGUAAUUUCUGUAAUUUCAAUAUUGUUGUGUUAUGUAUGUUGAUAUUGUGAAACUGUUAUUUGUUGUAUUCUGUUAAGACCACUCCCUGGGGUGUGAGGCACCUGAGUUAUCAGUUAUCCAAGAGAUCCUGGGGGAAUGGGAGGAGCUGGAUUCUUUAAUAGGCUCGGCAUUUCGUUUCUCUCUAGAGUGGCGAAGUAGCACCCCUUAAAAACGGGACUUGGAGAGAAGUACCGCAGAUGGAGGAGUUAGGAAACACAGAGAGGAGGCCACUUGAAAAACUUCAUAAAAUGCAGUUUCCUAGGAUAAUGGCGGAAGCCAUAGGGCUACAGUAGGACUGGGCUCAGAUACUGGUUUGGAACAAGAAUAAAUAAAACUAUCUUUACUUAAGAGUCCAGCCAGCUUAAUUACUGGCUGGUGGACAUACUUUAGACACAUAUAAUCAGAGGGAAACAGACCAGAGCGAAAGUGAAGCUAAAAGAAAAUGAAACUAGGGAAGCCUCAUAGAGGGAUAGAGGAGGUAAUGAAAGGUGAAAUUCAGAGGGCCUAAUGCUCGCAGGACAGAUACUGGAGGCCAGACAGGAAAGUGCCUUCCUACCCAGGGGGUUAUGGAUCCAGGGGGCUGCAGGUUAAGAGUGCAGGUCCGCCCAGGGGCCAGAGGGAACAACCUGGGAUUCAGACCCAGCAAUGGUGCCAACGUGAAUCUACCUCGUGCUAGAGUGAGUAGCCUGGUCUGUAACCCAACAGAGAAGAGAUUGGGCAGGGCUCCCAGAACCAACAUCUACAAAGGGAGUUCGGAGAGGGGCUAAAAGAAGGCAGGUUAAGCCCCACAUGUAAGUGAAUGAUGACCAGGGAUAACAAUUUACUAGUACUUCUAUGAUUUCUUGUAACUUUGUACCUUCCCCAAUAUUUGUUAAUUUUGUUAACUUUUAUCUGAUUUUUUUCCUGUGCUAGUUAGUAAAAAUUGUUUUUUCCUGUACUAGUAGUAAAAAUUGUUUUUUCCUGUACUAGUAAUAAAAGUUGUUCAAAGCA